GAGGAUAAAAAUAGGAGGGCAAAUCCGCUGAACUUAAGCAUAUAAUUAAGCGGAAGAAAAGAAAAUAACUAUGAUUCCUUUAGUAACGGCGAGUGAAGAAGGAAUAGCUCAAUAAGUAGAAUCCUUCGAAUCUUAAUGAUAUAUUUAUACAUAGAAUAAAGAAUUGAAGGAAUUGUCAAGUUGAAUUGUACUCUUGUAGGCCUCACAGGUGAAAUGAAUAUAUAGAAGUAAAGUAGGAAUACUUCCUCAUAGAGGGUGAAAGGCCCGUAUCAUAUAUCAUUUCGUGGGCUUUGGAGUAUUUAUAUUUUACUGAGUAGUGUUCUUUGAGAUUGGAGCACAAAUUGGUGUGAUACAUUUCACAUAAAGCUAAAUAUGUACAGGAGACCGAUAGCGAACAAGUACCGUGAGGGAAAGAUGAAAUAGUACUCAGGAAUGAGCAAUUAAAUAGUACCUGAAAUCGUUAAGAUGGAACGGAUUAAGAGAGAAAACAAGUAAAGAGGAGAAUUUUUUACAUUUUUAUUUUUGUUUUAUAAUUCUCUUCUUUAUUAAAAGAAACAUCAGUGAUUAAUUUAAUUUCAAUAAAGCAAUCCCCUGAAAUUCAAAAUUUCUUUUAAUUUUGUUUUCACUUUCUCCCCGCACUAAUGUGGGGAAAACUGGCUUUAUUUCUUCAAUUAUUUUUUU
rnacentral:ncRNA from 1 species